rnacentral:rRNA from 1 species
UACAUAUCAAUAAGCGGAGGAAAAGAAACCAACAGGGAUUGCCCUAGUAACGGCGAGUGAAGCGGCAACAGCUCAAAUUUGAAAUCUGGCUCUCGGGCCCGAGUUGUAAUUUGUAGAGGAUGCUUUUGGUGAGGUGCCUUCCGAGUUCCCUGGAACGGGACGCCAUAGAGGGUGAGAGCCCCGUCUGGUUGGACACCGAUCCUCUGUAAAGCUCCUUCGACGAGUCGAGUAGUUUGGGAAUGCUGCUCUAAAUGGGAGGUAUAUGUCUUCUAAAGCUAAAUAUUGGCCAGAGACCGAUAGCGCACAAGUAGAGUGAUCGAAAGAUGAAAAGCACUUUGAAAAGAGAGUUAAAAAGUACGUGAAAUUGUUGAAAGGGAAGCGCUUGUGACCAGACUUGGGCUUGGUUGAUCAUCCAGGGUUCUCCCUGGUGCACUCUUCCAGCCCAGGCCAGCAUCAGUUUGCUUCGGGGGAUAAAGGCGUCGGGAAUGUGGCACCCUCCGGGGUGUGUUAUAGCCCGUCGUGUAAUACCCUGGGGCAGACUGAGGUUCGCGCAUCUGCAAGGAUGCUGGCGUAAUGGUCAUCAGCGACCCGUCUUGAAACACGGACCAAGGAGUCGUCUUCGUAUGCGAGUGUUCGGGUGUCAAACCCCUACGCGUAAUGAAAGUGAACGCAGGUGAGAGCUUCGGCGCAUCAUCGACCGAUCCUGAUGUUCUCGGAUGGAUUUGAGUAAGAGCAUACGGGGCCGGACCCGAAAGAAGGUGAACUAUGCCUGUAUAGGGUGAAGCCAGAGGAAACUCUGGUGGAGGCUCGCAGCGGUUCUGACGUGCAAAUCGAUCGUCAAAUAUGGGCAUGGGGGCGAAAGACUAAUCGAACCUUCUAGUAGCUGGUUUCCGCC